GGGUGCUUAGCUCAGCGGUAGAGCUACUCGUUUACACCGAGUCGGUCGGCGGUUCGAUCCCGUCAGCACCCACCA
rnacentral:tRNA from 1 species